GUUCAUGGCGGUUGGCAUAGGGAACAGUAGUAGGUCGAAAGGUGCGGGAAUAAGCGCUGGCGUACUUCCGAGGAGGUGGUGGUCAUCGGUAGUGGCAGUGAAGAGCGACGUGGCCUAUGCGGCAUCAGUGGAAGCAGAUCAGCUUGUCAUCAGGGGUACGCCAUUCGGACGGGUUGCGAUAUGUGGCAGAAAAGGGCUGCCGGGGACGAUGA
rnacentral:lncRNA from 1 species